CUAUUAUUUCCUCCGUCCGGAAAUACUUUUAGAUGUAUCUAGAUGUAUUCUAGUUCUAGAUACAUUCAUAUUUAUUCAUUUCUCCGACAAGUAUUUCCGGACGGAGGGAGUAUAUU
rfam:Triticum aestivum genome assembly, contig: Triticum_aestivum_CS42_TGACv1_scaffold_221445_3B